rnacentral:rRNA from 1 species
GACGAACGCUGGCGGCGUGCUUAACACAUGCAAGUCGAGCGGUAAGGCCCUUUCGGGGUACGACGAGCGGCGAACGGGUAGAGUAACACGUGGGUGACCUGCCUCAGCUCUGGGAUAAGCCUCGGGAAACCGGGUCUAAUACUGGAUAUGACUCCAUGACGCAUGUUGUGGGGUGGAAAGCCUUGUGCGGCUGAGGAUGGGCCCGCGGCCUAAUCAGCUUGUUGGUGGGGUGAGGCCUACCAAGGCGACGACGGGUAGCCGGCCGUGAGAGGGCGACCGGCCACACUGGGACUGAGACACGGCCCAGACUCCUACGGGAGGCAGCAGUGGGGAAGUCUUGCGCAAUGGGCGAAAGCCUGACGCAGCGACGCCGCGUGAGGGAUGAC